rnacentral:rRNA from 1 species
AGUGAACGCUGGCGGUAGGCCUAACACAUGCAAGUCGAACGGCAGCACAGUAAGAGCUUGCUCUUACGGGUGGCGAGUGGCGGACGGGUGAGGAAUACAUCGGAAUCUACUUUUUCGUGGGGGAUAACGUAGGGAAACUUACGCUAAUACCGCAUACGACCUACGGGUGAAAGCAGGGGAUCUUCGGACCUUGCGCGAUUGAAUGAGCCGAUGUCGGAUUAGCUAGUUGGCGGGGUAAAGGCCCACCAAGGCAACGAUCCGUAGCUGGCCUGAGAGGAUGAUCAGCCUCACUGGAACUGAGACACGGUCCAGACUCCUACGGGAGGCAGCAGUGGGGAAUAUUGGACAAUGGGCGCAAGCCUGAUCCAGCCAUACCGCGUGGGUGAAGAAGGCCUUCGGGUUGUAAAGCCCUUUUGUUGGGAAAGAAAAGAAGCAGGUUAAUACCCCGCUGUUCUGACGGUACCCAAAGAAUAAGCACCGGCUAACUUCGUG